GCAGGGGGGUUGGGACACGCGAGGAAGCCGGUGUAGCAGCUCAGCCCAGCCCCUGCUAUGCCCGGCUCAGCAGAGGGUGUCAGCUGGAUUCCAGCCGCUGCAGACAGCCCCGGGAAAGAGCCUGAGGGAAUCCUGAUGUGAAAUGAACUAAAUCCUGUUCUGAAACCUCCACAACUGCCCUACUCACCCUGCCAGGCUGCAGCAUGAUGCACAUGUCUCGCUCCAGCUCAUCCCAACCUUUCCUGGGACAGGGAAGAGAAAUGGCUGCAGUUGGGUCUGAUCAGGGGCCAGUGACCUUGAGGAGGUGGCUCUGUAUUUCACCAGGGAAGAGUGGACUCUGCUGGACUCCACUCAAAGAGCCCUCUGCAGAGACGUCGUGCAGGAGAACUAUGAGAAUGUGACCUCACUGGGGUUUCCAGUUUCCAAACCCUCUGUGAUCUCCCAGCUGGAAGGAGGGGAAGAGCCGUGGGUCCUGGAUCUCCAAGGUUCAGAGGAAAGAAAGAUCCUGAGAAGUCCCUGAACAGCAGGUGGUGAGGGAGAACGAGGAGCAGAAUCCUCACCAAAAAGAUGCUGAGCUAGCCAAUGCUCAUGGGGCAUUACUGCGAAGAUCCAAAGGAAAUGUCUCCAGGUGCCAUGAGCUGGGAAAAGCUGGUGAAAGAUACCACAGACCAGAGAGAGAGCAGGGAAACCACUCGGAGGAGAGAGUGGAUGAACCCAUUGAUUGUCAGGGAACUCACAGGGACCUCAAGGAAACUACAUCCCAGGAGAAAAUCCUCAGGGAAAAGAGAGAGAAUACAUGCAGUGAGUGUGGGAAAAACUUCCAUUACUGCUCAGUUCUUAUUCGUCAUGAGAUAAUCCACACGAAAGAGAGACCCUAUGAAUGCUGCGAGUGUGGGAAAAGCUUCUCUCAGAGCUCAACCCUUAUUACACAUCACAGAAUCCACACAGGACACAGACCCUAUGAAUGCUGCGAGUGUGGGAAAAGCUUCUCUCAGAGCUCAGGCCUUCUCUAUCAUCAGAGGAUCCGUAAAGGAGAUAAACUCCAUAAAAACCUUCUCUAGAGCUGUCAGAACAUAUUUUUUUCUAAAUUCUUUUGACAGUUCUCAGGUAGUGAUCUUUAAGGCUGUUUGCGUCUUUUGCACACUGUAGUCCCUCAGCUCCUACACAUGAGUUGCCCAUUUUGAAGCUCGCCCGUCUUUGGGGUGGAUCCUGUGGUCCUUUCUAUCAACUCCAUUGUCCUGCAAGUCAUGGGAGCGUGUGUCCUUUCUACCAGGAAUGUCCAUCACCCCAACUGAGGGAGAUGGGAGUGUCUUCAACCAGCUACAUAGAGGUAAAAUCUACCUGGGCCUUAUCACUGUGAUUUCCAUGGAGUUAACUAGCUUGAGUUUGCUUUCCUGAUGUAAAAACGCAGCUAUUCUUGCAGUAAAGACAUGGGCCAUGGAUAGUGGGUGGGGUUAUCUAGCACAUUUCCUCCUGAUCUGACCUAACCACCAUCACAUUUCCUUGUCUAAACAAACCUGGAGAUUAACAUUUAUACUCCUCCUCCCAGUGCAAAGAUAUUGUU